AGAGGGUGCAAGCGUUAAUCGGACUUACUGGGCGUAAAGGGUGCGUAGGUGGAUGAAUAAGUCAAAGGUGAAAGCCCUGGGCUCAACCUGGGAACUGCCUGUGAAACUGUUCAUCUAGAGUAGAGUAGAGGGGAGUGGAAUUUCCGGUGUAGCGGUGAAAUGCGUAGAUAUCGGAAGGAACACCAGUGGCGAAGGCGACUCUCUGGGCUCAUACUGACACUGAGGCACGAAAGCGUGGGGUAGCAAACAGGAUUAGAUACCCUGGUAGUCCACGCUGUAAACGAUGAGAACUAGCUGUUGGGGGAGCGAAGACUUCUCAGCAGCGUAGCUAACGCGCUAAGUUCUCCGCCUGGGGAUUACGGCCGCAAGGCUA
rnacentral:rRNA from 1 species